rnacentral:tRNA from 1 species
AGUCCUAUGGUGUAAUGGUCAGCACUCUGGACUUUGAAUCCAGCGAUCUGAGUUCAAAUCUCUGUAGGACCU